rnacentral:rRNA from 1 species
AUUGAACGCUGGCGGCAUGCUUUACACAUGCAAGUCGAACGGUAACAGGGUGCUUGCACCGCUGACGAGUGGCGAACGGGUGAGUAAUGCGUCGGAACGUGCCGAGUAGUGGGGGAUAACGCAGCGAAAGUUGUGCUAAUACCGCAUACGUACUGAGGUAGAAAGUGGGGGGACUUUCGGGCCUCACGCUAUUCGAGCGGCCGACGUCUGAUUAGCUAGUAGGUGAGGUGAAGGCUCACCUAGGCGACGAUCGGUGGCGGGUCUGAGAGGAUGAUCCACCACACUGGGACUGAGACACGGCCCAGACUCCUACGGGAGGCAGCAGUGGGGAAUUUUGGACAAUGGGCGAAAGCCUGAUCCAGCCAUGCCGCGUGUCUGAAGAAGGCCUUCGGGUUGUAAAGGACUUUUGUCAGGGAGGAAAUCCCUAGUGCUAAUAACACUGGGGGAUGACAGUACCUGAAGAAUAAGCACCGGCUAACUACGUGCCAGCAGCCGCGGUAA